rnacentral:rRNA from 1 species
UACGUAGGGUGCGAGCGUUGUCCGGAUUUACUGGGCGUAAAGAGCGCGCAGGCGGUCGUUCAAGUCGCGUGUGAAAGCCCCCGGCUCAACUGGGGAGGGUCACGCGAUACUGAUCGACUCGAAGGCAGGAGAGGGUAGUGGAAUUCCCGGUGUAGUGGUGAAAUGCGUAGAUAUCGGGAGGAACACCAGUGGCGAAGGCGACUACCUGGCCUGUUUCUUGACGCUGAGGCGCGAAAGCUAGGGGAGCAAACGGG